UCCCUGGUAGUAUAUCGGUUUAGUACACGCGCCUGUCAUCACCAAUUGCCACUAGUCUCAUCCGCGCGAAAGCUGGGUUCGACUCCCAGCCAGGGAG